UUUUUGGGAGGGGGGGUACAGCGCCCGUGCAGAGAGGAAGAAAGCCUUGCAGCCCUCUUAAGCGUUGUCAGCGGAUCGGUGCAAAUGUGUGCGAGCUGCUUGCUUUCCUUCUGGGCUUUAAAGUAGAUUGACAAGGAGAAACCUCAAUAGGCACAGCUCUUUUUUUUUUUUUUUUGGUCAUGGCAUGGAAAUAAAGGAAAUGAGUAAAUGGUACUUCUGUAACUCUUAUCCUGAGGAUACCUGUCCCUAAAAUUACGGGGCUGUGCAUUAAAUUGCUGGGAGCACUAUUGUUUCGGCUUGUGUCUGAGCCACUGCGUUAUCUUAAUAUCAUCACCACCACCUCAUUACACUGUAAUUAUUUCCUAAUAAAUACUGUUGGAACAGUUUACUGCCAAAUAGGCUGGACUAAUUACGUUCUUCCUGUUGGCACAGCUAAAAGGUAUAUCAACAGAAAGCUGAGUGCCUCAACACCAUCAGAUAAAACCUAACAGGCAUUUUGGAACACACAGUCAAGAAAAAAAUGAGAAAUUUCGGAAACACGAUGCUCUACAAAAGAAACUCACAUUGUUCACUCCAAAGCCACAAGUUAAUAACUCCAACUCGUAGAUCAAAAAUCUAUCCAGCAGACCUCUGUCAGACGAUGAAAACACCGUCCUCUCACAACCUCAAUUUCAACCACAAGUAUGCGGACUCAGUCGAUUUCCUAGCCAAAUUUGAAUACGUACAGAAAACAAUCUCAGUCACGAGACACAAGAGGACAUCAGACAGAGAAUAAUCUUCAACAUCCAACGAAGCAAACACAAUGAAACAUUCAACCAGAAGGAGAGGAAGGCACUAAAGAAACUGCAACAAAAUGAAAACAUUGUCAUCCUACUGGCAGACAAAGACAGACUGACUGAUAAUGGACAAAACUGAUUAUAUCAAUAAAGCUGAAGAUCCGCUGAAUGACACCAAUAAUCAACAUCCAGAUAGUCAACAACAAUCCAGUGCACAUCGUUGGAUUGUGACAUACUACAUAACCAGCCACAACAUGGAAACAAACUUUGCCACACAUCAAAGAAAUGUCAGAAAUGGUGGUCAGAAUUCUACAAUCACUGGGAAUAAUGGUGGCUCACAAACCAACACCAGCAUUCCAACAAGAGCUGUCCAGAACCAAGGACAAAAUCCUGAAGGGAAAGAACAGCAACAUAGUCUACAAGCUCAAAUGCAACAACUGUGACCAAUUCUAUGUCGGCAAAUAGAACAACAACUAAAAACAAGAAUCCACAAGCACUGACUAGCAAUCAACCGGCAUGACCACAAAUCUCUGCUCUUGACCCAUGCUGGCAUCGAGGAACACCAGUUCAACUGGGACAGAACAAAAAUCAUUGGCCAUGCCACCGCAAGCCAUGCAUACAAAUUCAUCAAAGUCUGGUAUUCAACAAACAGGUCAAUCAACAAACAUAUCAAUCUGGAACCAGCCUACGAGCCCAUAUAAGGAGCUGGAUCAAUUGGACAAUCAACCAACAACAGCACUGGCCACUUCCUCACCUGGUGACCUUCACACUACGUGAUCAACUGACCAUGUCACCAUUUAGGAUAGAUAAAAGCAGAAGGAAACUAAAACAAGAAGCUUCAACCGAAGUCCAUGUUGAAGAUGUUGCCUAGCCUGGCGACAAAACAUUCGGAAGCCAAACAGCAAACUCAAAGAAAAAUCACCGUCCACAUCUACCAUCCAAAUUACAAAUAUUUUCCAUCAUUUCCAAAACAGGUAUUCUUUCAAAAUCUGUUGGGUUUUUGAUAUAAUAAAUAAUAUACUUUUUCUCACACAAGUUUUUUUAAUUUUCUACCUGUUCUAAAAUGCAUAUAAAUCUAUAGGCAUGAUAUAAAGAAAUCUGGCAUCUCAAAUUGAAACAUGCAUUAACUGGUGCUGUAUCUUUUCCACAGACAGAGAAAAUCUGUGAGGAAUUUUAUUAUUUUAAUAUUUGGACUCUCAAGGCAGCGUAUGCAAAUGCAAUUAAAAAUACAAAUAAAAGUAUUUUUAAAAUGACAA